rnacentral:sRNA from 1 species
CUUUCUUUGGGGACAUGAUAAAAUUGGAACAAUACAGAGAAGAUUAGCAUGGCUCUCAGGGGUGGACACAAUUCGGUUUAAUUUGGAUCUCAUUUCA